CGCCAUCGUCGUGGUGCCUAACACAACACCUCCUUCGCCAGCAACGACGACAGCGUCGUUGCCGACUCCGCCGUCUACUCCGCGCACGGCCACGACGCCGGUACAGCGACACUAAGGCCGCCGCCACCGCCGCCUCCCGCGAGAUUAGUGUGUACAUGGCGUUCCUUGCUGCAGGUCUCGUCGUAGGAGCCUAUCUUGAUGAGCAUUUUUGCGAAUUAACCAUGACAAAGUUCAAUUCUUGGGAAUCUCUUGAAUCGAAUUAUGAGUUUCUGACUCUGUGCAAGCAGAGAUCACCUGCUGGAGGAUCAUCGGCAAGAGGUCGGCGCUGCGGAUGCGGCGUGAGUACCUGAAGGCGGUGCUGAGGCAGGAGAUCGGAUUCUUUGACACGGAGGUGAGCACCGGCGAGGUGAUGCACAGCAUCUCCGGCGAUGUCGCCCAAAUCCAAGAAGUCAUGGGAGAGAAGGUAGCACACACACAAAUUUUACCCCAAAUACAUACUAUGUUGAAGGUUGCCACCGCUCCUUCCCCACUCAACUCUGGCCGCCGCUCCACCACCGCCACUGCUCCACCCCACCCUCCGGCUGGAGAGAGAAGAGGGAGAGAGAGAGGAUAAAGAGAGUGGAUAGAGAGAAGGGGUAGUGAGGAUGACCCCACCAUUUUCUUGUUACAGUGUGUGUGAAACUGACAUGUGAGUCUCAUAGGUUUUUCUUAUUUUUUGGAUCGAAUUUGUCACGUAAGCGCCACUUCAAUGCCACAUCAGACAAAGACCGAGUUAAAUUUGCCAUGUAGGCGCCACCUUAGCUAAAACCGGAGUCAAAUACUGCCGAGGGACCUUAUUUAAACGGUUUCGUAAGUUGGGGGACCUAUUAUACCCAGUUUUGCGAUCGAGGAACAAAAAUCAGAUUGGGUGACAAAUAGAGGGACCCAAAGUGAACUUACUCCGGA